UACGAAGGGUGCAAGCGUCAAUCGGAAUUACUGGGCGUAAAGCGCGCGCAGGCGGCUUGCCAAGUCUGAUGUGAAAUCCCGGGGCUCAACCUCGGAACUGCAUUGGAAACUGGUAGGCUUGAGUAUGUGAGGGGUUAGUGGAAUUCCUGGUGUAGGGGUGAAAUCCGUAGAGAUCAGGAGGAACACCGGUGGCGAAGGCGACUGACUGGAACAUAACUGACGCUGAGGCGCGAAAGCGUGGGUAGCAAACAGG
rnacentral:rRNA from 1 species